rnacentral:misc_RNA from 1 species
GAUGAAGAACGUAGCGAAAUGCGAUAAGUAAUGUGAAUUGCAGAAUUCAGUGAAUCAUCGAAUCUUUGAACGCACAUUGCGCCCGCCAGUAUUCUGGCGGGCAUGCCUGUUCGAGCGUCAUUUCAACCCUCAGGCCCCCAGUGCCUGGUGUUGGGGAUCGGCCCAGCCUUCCUGUAAGGCCGCCGGCCCCGAAAUCUAGUGGCGGUCUCGCUGUAGUCCUCCUCUGCGUAGUAGCACAACCUCGCAGUUGGAACGCGGCAGUGGCCAUGCCGUUAAACACCCCACUUCUGAAAGUUGACCUCGGAUCAGGUAGGAAUACCCGCUGAACUUAAGCAUAUCAAUAAGCGGAGGA